GUGGCUUUGUUGAUGAUCCGAAUUCAUAUUCAAUCCACCUCUUGAAUAUGCAUUAAGAGCGGCUAACAUGCCUAAAUUAGUUUCGGCCAUUCCAAGCCCAAGAUGUUGAGAUGGUUGUUGUUGCUGCAUUAGCAUUGAGCCUAGUUGCAAUGGGUUUCCUCUUCCACUUUGAAAUUCUAGAUUUGGUGGGAUGUUAAACCUAGGCAUGAAAUGUAAUGGUGUGUUUGAGCUACCCAUAGGGAACGGCCACAUUUGAGACUCCAGUGUUGUAGUUCCUGAUGUACUUGCCAUCGGAGCGGAUAAAGUUUGUCCGCUAGUGACCGGCAGCAUCCAGAACGGGCUGCCGCCGGUAGUUCCGCUUGUGGGCGGUGGUGCCACCGCCCAUAACCCAGUAGCUGGUAUCACGUUAGUAUGCCGAAGCAUAUUAGAGGAGGGUCCAGCUACACCUUCUUGGGAAUUAGGCUUAUUAGGCAAUUGCGGUGAAUUUCCUUUGAAUUGCUUAUUCGAAGGGGAACUAGAUCCUCCAGAAGCUUCUCCUUGUUGAUUACUUGAACCUUCCUCUUUGAACAAAUCCUCUCGGUAUCUUUUCCGUAGGUAAUUAUCCGCUCCCUCUUGUCCACCUACACCUCCACCAUCUCCGCUGCUACCGCCGCCGCCGCCGCCUCCAGGUAUUGAUUCAGCGAUUGGAUUUUGCGUCAGGAGGUGAGUAUAAUGAUGAAACCCUAGCAUUUGCGAGAAUCCUUCUUCAAAAGGAUGAGGGGUUUGAUGAGCAGCGGCUAAAGCUAAAGCGCUGUGAAAAGAAUGAGGAGCUGACUUAGAAGGAGGAGCUGAGAGAGUAGAGCCGCUGCUACGGAGGGAUAUGUUUAGCGUUGAGAAGUUGGCUGGGAUGGUGCCGGUGCCAGUGGCAGCUAUGAUGGCUGGCUCGGCUUGCUGUAAUAGCCAUUCGAUUGUUUCUCCGUCGGACUUAUGGCCUAAUUCUCUGGUCAAUUGAAAAACCCUAGCUGCACAUGCGGCUGGCAUUCGGAUGCGCCGCCCUCUCCCGUCAACUUUGGUGUGCCGAUCCUUUGUUUGUCGCUUCGGUGGUGGCUGCUGCGGCUGCACAGGUUGUGUUUGUUGUAUUGCCAGCUGAGAUUUCUUAUUUGGGUCAACUAAGGUGUCCGAUCUAGUGGCAAUUGCAAGAGAAGCGUCCACUAGAUGA
rnacentral:misc_RNA from 1 species